rnacentral:rRNA from 1 species
AGCCUCCCGCUAUUAUGAGAGGUGCCGUCUGCCCGGUGACCCACCAGUUUAACGGCCGCUUACGUGCUAAGGUAGCAUAAUCGUUUGUCCCUUCAUUGAGGAAUAGUAUGAAUGACACCCACGGAGCUCAACUGUCUCUAUCUAUUAAAUAAAAAUUGAUCUAUAGGUGAAAAAGCCUAUAUACUGAUGAAGGACGAAAAGACCCUGUAGAGUUUUAGCAGAAUAUUAAUGCAAUACCCCAUCGCUUAGACCAUUCCCCUUACCAGGGCAACAGAGCUGCAUUAAGUAUCUGCUUUUAUUGGGGCAAUAUAAGAACCAAAAAACUCUUAAAACAAAAAUUUACCAUAGUAAGGAGAACUAAUCCUCAAAGAGAAUCAAGAAAAACUACCUCAGGGAUAACAGCGUAAUCCCCCCAGAGAGAUCUAAUCGAAGGGGAGGUUUGGGACCUCGAUGUUGGACUAAGAAAACUUUAAAGUGCAGAAGCUUUAAGAAGUAAGCCUGUUCGGCUUUUAAUAUCUUACAUG